CAGGCUUAACACAUGCAAGUCGAGCGGGGAAGGGUAGCUUGCUACCUGACCUAGCGGCGGACGGGUGAGUAAUGCUUAGGAAUCUGCCUAUUAGUGGGGGACAACAUUCCGAAAGGAAUGCUAAUACCGCAUACGCCCUACGGGGGAAAGCAGGGGAUCUUCGGACCUUGCGCUAAUAGAUGAGCCUAAGUCAGAUUAGCUAGUUGGUGGGGUAAAGGCCUACCAAGGCGACGAUCUGUAGCGGGUCUGAGAGGAUGAUCCGCCACACUGGGACUGAGACACGGCCCAGACUCCUACGGGAGGCAGCAGUGGGGAAUAUUGGACAAUGGGCGAAAGCCUGAUCCAGCCAUGCCGCGUGUGUGAAGAAGGCCUUUUGGUUGUAAAGCACUUUAAGCGAGGAGGAGGCUACCGAGAUUAAUACUCUUGGAUAGUGGACGUUACUCGCAGAAUAAGCACCGGCUAACUCUGUGCCAGCAGCCGCGGUAAUACAGAGGGUGCGAGCGUUAAUCGGAUUUACUGGGCGUAAAGCGUGCGUAGGCGGCUUUUUAAGUCGGAUGUGAAAUCCCUGAGCUUAACUUAGGAAUUGCAUUCGAUACUGGGAAGCUAGAGUAUGGGAGAGGAUGGUAGAAUUCCAGGUGUAGCGGUGAAAUGCGUAGAGAUCUGGAGGAAUACCGAUGGCGAAGGCAGCCAUCUGGCCUAAUACUGACGCUGAGGUACGAAAGCAUGGGGAGCAAACAGGAUUAGAUACCCUGGUAGUCCAUGCCGUAAACGAUGUCUACUAGCCGUUGGGGCCUUUGAGGCUUUAGUGGCGCAGCUAACGCGAUAAGUAGACCGCC
rnacentral:rRNA from 1 species